rnacentral:misc_RNA from 1 species
CAUCAACUGAGCUGCAACUUUUUUCUGAAACAGCAGUUCACUUGAAUGUAAAAGACACGUGCAUAUCAGUUGAUAUGUCAUGUGUGCCAGAAUCAUCAUAUGUUCCCGAAACUGAAAUUGAUGAUGGAACAAAAAUAUUAUUUGGUAGGUUGUCUUGUGACCAAGUGGGCCAGGCAGAAGUUUUAGAAGAAGCUUCAGUGAGCAACGAAUUCAGACAAAGCAUAUUGCCAGUUGAUGCUAACAAUUUUGAUGAAUCUAU